rnacentral:rRNA from 1 species
AUUGAACGCUGGCGGCAUGCCUUACACAUGCAAGUCGAACGGCAGCACGGGUGCUUGCACCUGGUGGCGAGUGGCGAACGGGUGAGUAAUACAUCGGAACGUACCUUAUCGUGGGGGAUAACGCAGCGAAAGCUGUGCUAAUACCGCAUACGCCCUGAGGGGGAAAGCGGGGGAUCGCAAGACCUCGCGCGAUUAGAGCGGCCGAUGCCUGAUUAGCUUGUUGGUGGGGUAAAAGCCCACCAAGGCGACGAUCAGUAGCUGGUCUGAGAGGACGAUCGGACACACUGGGACUGAGAAACGGCCCAGACUCCUACGUGAGGCAGCAGUGGGGAAUGUUGGCCAAUGGGGGCAACCCUCAUCCAGCAAUGCCGCGUGAGUGAAGAAGGCCUUCGGGUUGUAAAGCUCUUUUGUCAGGGAAGAAACACCGGCUCUAACACAGUCCGGGAAUGACGGUACCUGAAGAAUAAGCACCGGCUAACUACGUGCCAGCAGCCGCCGCCG